rnacentral:tRNA from 2 species
AGUCGCGUGGUCUAAUGGUCAUGAUUUCUGAUUCACAUGUCUCGGCGUAUGCUCUCAGAAGGUUCCCGGUUCGAUCCCGGGCGCGACUA